GCCGGUGGCACGGGAGAGCGUUGCUCCUGCCGUCGCCAGGCCCCGCAGGAAAAACGAGUAAAACCGCGCCUGGCCCAAAGCCACCUGCAGCUGUGGGGAGCGCGUGUACGGUAUACGCACGUGCCAGGCGCCCCCGGUCCUGCAGCCGCAUCAGCGCAGCGUGGCUGCUGAGCUACUACUCUAUUCACUUUCCAAUAAAGGAAUGGAAUUAGCUGGAAUAAUUCUUGAGCCCAUCCUGUAUCAAAACUAGUGCUGCCUGCGGAACAGCAAGACUUCAGGAAAGAAGUGCUUUCACGCCACCCAGUAUUUACCUAUGUAGUAUAAAGUGUACCGCAUAGGGAAGGGGAAUUCCUGUCCAUCAGCGUGGAGGAGGAGCAGGAGGAGAUCCAAAUCCAGACAACGCUUUUAACCACUCCAGAACUUCCUCAGCCAUUGCUCCUUGUAGUAACUGAAACAUUUGCUUUGAGAGAUUUAGAAUUUGACUCUUACACUUUAAUCCACGUGUCUUGGAUUUGGUGUAUAAUGUUGGCAGAUUUCAUUAGCUGGGUUCAGAUGAUACGUGUUGUCAAAGCUCCAUUCGUAUUGAAGCCCGUGUAUGAUUUUGAUGCUGGGCCUGUACAGUCAGUCUGUCCUCAUAAAUACUUCUCAUUUCAUGAGCAAAGAUUUGAGUGCAACUCUGCUUAAGAAUGGAUGGGGAAAGCACUGUGAAUGAAGAUUAAUUAUCUUUGGAGUCCUUCUUUCUAUGUUGCUGUGU